ACGGAGGGUGCAAGCGUUAAUCGGAAUUACUGGGCGUAAAGCGCACGUAGGCUGUAGUGUAAGUCAGGGGUGAAAUCCCACGGCUCAACCGUGGAACUGCCUUUGAUACUGCACAACUUGAAUCCUGGAGAGGGUGGCGGAAUUCCAGGUGUAGGAGUGAAAAGAGAAGAUAGCAGGAGGAAAAAAAGAGGCGAAGGAGGAAAACAGGAAAGGAAAGGAAGCAGAGGAGAGAAAGCGAGGGGAGAAAAAAG
rnacentral:rRNA from 1 species